AAAAUUCAGCCCGACCCGACCCAGGCCCACGGGUAUUAAAGCCCGACCCAGCCCGAGCCCGACCAGUUAACUUGAUUUGCAGGCCCGAGCCCGAAGCAAACCCGAAAUUUCAUAUUUUAUUUGUGAGGACUCGGGAGGAGGAGGGG